CCUACGGGCGGCUGCAGUCGAGAAUCUUCCUCAAUGGCCGAAAGGCUGAAGGAGCGACAUCGCGUGCAGGAGGAAGCCCUUCGGGGUGUAAACUGCUUUUCUCUAGGAAGAAACAAUGACGGUACUAGAGGAAUAAGGGGUUGCUAAACUCGUGCCAGCAGCAGCGGUAAUACGAGUACCCCGAGCGUUAUCCGGAUUUAUUGGGCGUAAAGCGUGCGCAGACGGUUUAUAACAUCUCCUGUUAAAUCCCAAGGCUCAACCUUGGGGCCGCGGGAGAUAUGGAUAAACUAGAGGCUGGAAGAGGUAAGCGGAAUUGCUGGUGUAGGGGUUAAAUCCGUUAAUAUCAGCAGGAACACCAAAAGCGAAGGCAGCUUACUGGAACAGUUCUGACGCUCAGGCACGAAAGCGUGGGGAGCGAAUGGGAUUAGAUACCCGUGUAGUC
rnacentral:rRNA from 1 species